UACGUAGGGGGCAAGCGUUGUCCGGAUUUAUUGGGCGUAAAGAGCGUGUAGGCGGCCAGAUAGGUCCGUUGUGAAAACUGGAGGCUUAACCUCCAGCUGUCGAUGGAAACCAUCUGGCUAGAGUCCGGAAGAGGAGAGUGGAAUUCCUGGUGUAGCGGUGAAAUGCGCAGAUAUCAGGAAGAACACCCGUGGCGAAGGCGGCUCUCUGGGACGGUACUGACGCUGAUGAGCGAAAGCUAGGGGAGCAAACGGG
rnacentral:rRNA from 1 species